CGGGGCGUAGCGCAGCCCGGCUAGCGCACUCCCUUGGGGUGGGAGUGGUCGCAGGUUCAAAUCCUGUCGCCCCGA
rnacentral:tRNA from 1 species